UGAGUACGAGACGCUAAGGCGUCGAAGUAGUGGAUGUCAUACUUCCAAGAAAAGCUUGCACUGUCAUAAAUAGAAAACGCCUGUACCAUAACCGACACAGGUGGGUAGGUAGAGUAUACUAAGGGGCGCGAGAUAACUCUCUCUAAGGAACUCGGCAAAAUAACUCCGUAACUUCGGGAGAAGGAGUGCCUUAUUCGUAAGGCUGCAAUAACAAGAUCCAAGCAACUGUUUAUCAAAAACACAGGUCUCCGCUAAGUCGUAAGACGAUGUAUGGGGGCUGACGCCUGCCCAGUGCCAGAAGGUUAAAGAAGUCGGUUAGCAUUAGCGAAGCUGGUAACUGAAGCCCUGGUGAACGGCGGCCGUAACGAUAACGGUCCUAAGGUAGCGAAAUUCCUUGUCGGGUAAGUUCCGACCCGCACGAAAGGCGUAAUGAUUUGGAUACUGUCUCGGAGAGGGGCUCGGUGAAAUAGACUUGUCUGUGAAGAUGCGGACUACCUGCACCAGGACAGAAAGACCCUAUGAAGCUUUACUGUAACUUGAAAUCGAAAUUGGACUUUAUUCGCGCAGUAUAGGUGGGAGGUGUUGAUUAUAAUCUUGCGGGAUUAUUGGAGCCAUCAGUGAGAUACCACUCUUGUAAUGUUAGAUUUCUAACUUUGAAUCAUUAUCUGGUCAAAGAACAGUUUCAGGCGGGCAGUUUGACUGGGGCGGUCGCCUCCUAAAUGGUAACGGAGGCGUACAAAGGUUUCCUCUGAACGGGUAGAAAUCGUAUCUAGAGUGUAAAGGCAUAAGGAAGCUUGACUGUGAAACCUACAAGUCGAGCAGGGACGAAAGUCGGUCUUAGUGAUCUGACGGUACUGAGUGGAAAGGCCGUCACUCAACGGAUAAAAGUUACUCUAAGGAUAACAGGCUGAUCUCCCCCAAGAGUUCACAUCGACGGGGAGGUUUGGCACCUCGAUGUCGGCUCAUCGCAUCCUGGGGCGGUAGUACGUCCCAAGGGUUGGGCUGUUCGCCCAUGAAAGCGGUACGCGAGCUGGGUUCAGAACGUCGUGAGACAGUUCGGUCCAUAUCCGGUGUAGGCGUUAGAAUAUUGAGAGGAGCCUUCUUUAGUACGAGAGGACCGAGAAGGACAUACCUCUGGUGUACCAGUUAUCGUGCCAACGGUAAACGCUGGGUAGCUAUGUAUGGAGUGGAUAACCGCUGAAAGCAUCUAAGUGGGAAGCCCACCUCAAGAUAAGUAUUCUCA
rnacentral:rRNA from 1 species